GGCCUUGGUGGUGUAGUAGUAGCACGCACCCCCGUUAAAGGUGAAGCACGGGUUCAACUCCCAAUUGAGGUCG